rnacentral:rRNA from 1 species
GACGAACGCUGGCGGCGUGCCUAACACAUGCAAGUAGAACGCUGGAGAGAGGAGCUUGCUCUGCUUCGAUGAGUGGCGAACGGGUGAGUAACGCGUAGGUAACCUGCCGUGUAGCGGGGGAUAACUAUUGGAAACGAUAGCUAAUACCGCAUAACAAUGGAUGACACAUGGCACUUAUUAGAAAGGGGCAAUUGCUCCACUACAAGAUGGAUCUGCGGUGUAUUAGCUAGUAGGUGAGGUAAUGGCUCACCUAGGCGGCGAUACAUAGCCGACCUGGGAGGGUGAACCGCCCACAUGGGACUGGGGCACGGCCCAGGACCCCACGGGGAGCAGCAGUAGGGGAACAUCGGCAAUAGGGGGAACGCUGGACGCAGACAGCCGCGGGGGGGGAGAAAGUUUUCGGGUCGUAAAGGUCUGUUGUAAGUGAAGAAAGGGCAGGAGGGUGGAAAGUUGACGCUGUGACGGUACCUUACGAAAAAGCGACGGCUAACUACGUG